rnacentral:lncRNA from 1 species
CCUGGAGACACUUCGCAUACACUGUGCCUGGGGCAGCAGAAAACGCUCAGGUUCUGCAAACAGACUCACUUACUAUGUGGAUAAUUUAGUCUGCCCAAGCCUCCCUUUCUUCUUCUGUAAAAUGGGGAGAAUGCCUUCCUAAUAGGGUUGCUACAAACAGUAAAUGAAAUAUUGAAUGUCGGAUACUUAAUAUAAUGCCUGUCAUUAGCAGAUGUUAAAAAAAAAUCCCUCCCCACCUAUCCCUGUGUUCACUCUCAUCAACACUAGCCUGGCCCCUGCCUCUGGAAACAAACCUCUCUAAGGGUCUUGGGCUGAGCAGCUGAUCCCAUCAAGGAUGGAGCUGGCACCCAGAGUUUUCACUUUGUGAGGAUUUCUUGGAGCAGGAAAAGUCUUUGGUUCAAUAAGGAAGAGAGUUCAAAUAGUGGAAGGCGGUGGGGGAGCCGAUAGGGGAGGCUCUGUGAGCUGGGGACCUUCUAAAGGUGAGCAUCUGUGAUCAGCUGUGAUUCUACCACGCCUGCACCAACCCCUCUCAUAAACACCAGUGGUCAUUAUGCACUGGAUAAAAUCCCAGCCUUUCAGCCAAGUUUUCAAGCCUUGGUGAUCUAGCCCACCUGCCUUCAUUCAUUCACUCCACGAACAUGCCCCAGGUCCCCAUCUCCACAACUGUACACAGGCUGGUCCCUGGACCUGCUACACCUUCCCUCACUCUUACCUACAUUACUCACCAGCCCUUCAUGUUAGAAACCAUCUGUGCCCCUCCAGAACUUGGUCCACAGUUGUUUAUGCUUGUGCCUUAGCUUCCGCAUGGGCUCUAGGCAUCUGUAGUCAGGGUCCACAACCGAGCCAUCCUGAGGACACUCAGGCGGAGCCUUGCCUCUCGCUUUGCACCACACCACGGCUCAGCGUCUUCUUGGAGUGAAUAAGGGACUGGGCUUCUCUACACUCAAGUCAUUCCCAUCUCAGAACAGUCCAGGUGCACUGAAGGAGGGAAAGCUGGGAGCACACUCCUCCCACAGGCUGUCCAAAGGGAUUUGAGAGUUCCUUUGGGGGUGCUGUACUUUCUUUGCCACAUAGGCAUGUGGCAGCUAUUUGCAUGACUAUCUGGCAUCCUAAGUACACAAAGAUGGUUUGUCUAUUUCCCAUCUGCUAACCUGCUUGGAUGACCUCCUCCUCAGCACAGCACACAAGAGCACUAAAGUGCCCCAGGGAUGCUGCAGGCAAUGUCUAUAC